rnacentral:rRNA from 1 species
GGGAUAACGUUUGGAAACGAACGCUAAUACCGCAUAAGACCACACUUCCACAUGGGAGAGGGGUCAAAGGAGCAAUCCGCUGAAAGAUGGGCUCGCGUCCGAUUAGAUAGUUGGGGGGGUAACGGCCCACCAAGUCGACGAUCGGUAGCCGGACUGAGAGGUUGAACGGCCACAUUGGGACUGAGACACGGCCCAGACUCCUACGGGAGGCAGCAGUGAGGGAUAUUGGUCAAUGGGGGAAACCCUGAACCAGCAACGCCGCGUGAGGGAAGACGGUUUUCGGAUUGUAAACCUCUGUCCUCUGUGAAGAUAAUGACGGUAGCAGAGGAGGAAGCUCCGGCUAACUACGUGCCAGCAGCCGCGGUAAUACGUAGGGAGCGAGCGUUGUCCGGAUUUACUGGGUGUAAAGGGUGCGUAGGCGGGUAAGCAAGUCAGAAGUGAAAUCCAUGGGCUUAACCCAUGAACUGCUUUUGAAACUGUUUAUCUUGAGUGAAGUAGAGGUAGGCGGAAUUCCCGGUGUAGCGGUGAAAUGCGUAGAGAUCGGGAGGAACACCAGUGGCGAAGGCGGCCUACUGGGCUUUAACUGACGCUGAAGCACGAAAGCGUGGGUAGCAAACAGGAUUAGAUACCCU